rfam:Schistosoma mansoni, Puerto Rico, WGS project CABG01000000 data, contig: 0037
AUCUAGCUUAUGUGUCCCAAAUAGGACGAAACGCACGUCCUGGAU